rnacentral:rRNA from 1 species
UACAGAGGGGGCAAGCGUUGUUCGGAAUUACUGGGCGUAAAGGGCGCGUAGGCGGCCUGCUAAGUCGAACGUGAAAUCCCUGGGCUCAACCCAGGAACUGCGUCCGAUACUGGUUGGCUUGAAUCCGGGAGAGGGACGUGGAAUUCCAGGUGUAGCGGUGAAAUGCGUAGAUAUCUGGAGGAACACCGAUGGCGAAGGCAAUCCCCUGGGCCUGUACUGACGCUCAUGCACGAAAGCGUGGGGAGCAAACAGG